rnacentral:misc_RNA from 1 species
GAUGAAGAACGUAGCGAAAUGCGACAAGUAAUGUGAAUUGCAGAAUUCCGUGAAUCAUCGAAUCUUUGAACGCAUCUUGCGCUCCUUGGUAUUCUGAGGAGCAUGCCUGUUUGAGUGUCAUUAAAUUCUCAACUACACUGACUUUGAAUUGGUGUGGCUUGGAUUUGGGGGGAAAAUUGUUGUGGGCUUUUUGUAUAGUCUGCUCCCCUGAAAUUGAUUAGCGGUACCUUUGUGGAACUGUCUACAGGUGUGAUAAUUAUCUACAUCUUAGACAUCUGCUGGAAUGCUGCUUUCUAAACCUUACUUGUAUUGACAAUCUUGACCUCAAAUCAGGUAGGACUACCCGCUGAACUUAAGCAUAUCAAUAAGCGGAGGA